AUCCAGCCGAUGAGUCCCAAACAUGACGAAACGCUCAUCCUGGAU
rnacentral:hammerhead_ribozyme from 1 species